rnacentral:SRP_RNA from 1 species
UCGUGCUAGAUGGGGAGCUAGCGGUGCCCUGUAACCCGAAAUCCGCUUAUGCGGGGUCGAAAAUCCUUCAUGAGAAUUGUGAUGCGGCCGUGUCUUUGAGUCACCUUUGGGGUGGGGUGGACCUCGCGUGACAGGCAUUUACGAACCCCGUCAGAUCCGGGAGGAAGCAGCGGUAAGUAAAACAGUCUGUGUCGUGAUGGGAUCUAUCUUUUUCCCCGGGCGAUGAAAUCACGCCGCUAAUCGUUCGAAUAAGGAUGCACGA